ensembl:snoRNA SNORA54 small nucleolar RNA, H/ACA box 54
GAGCACUGUUCGUAACCUGUUAACCUGGCUGUAGCUAACGGGUUCCAUUCCAGUGCAACAGCACUUCCAGUGACACAUGACUGACUGACAGAUGGCUUUCAGUCUCAGGCCUUGGAGACAAAU